UACGUAGGGUGCAAGCGUUGUCCGGAAUCAUUGGGCGUAAAGCGCGCGUAGGUGGCUCCAUAAGUCCGUUGUGAAAGUCAAAGGCUCAACCUUUGAAAGCCGAUGGAUACUGUGGAGCUAGAGUACGGAAGAGGCGAGUGGAAUUCCUGGUGUAGCGGUGGAAUGCGCAGAUAUCAGGAGGAACACCAAUAGCGAAGGCAGCUCGCUGGGACGUUACUGACACUGAGGCGCGAAAGCGUGGGGAGCGAACAGG
rnacentral:rRNA from 1 species